rnacentral:rRNA from 1 species
UACGAAGGGUGCAAACGUUGCUCGGAAUCAUUGGGCGUAAAGCGCACGUAGGCGGCUUGCCAAGUCGGACGUGAAAUCCCUCAGCUCAACUGAGGACGUGCAUCCGAAACUGGCGAGCUUGAGUGCUGAAGAGGAUCGCGGAAUUCCCGGUGUAGCGGUGGAAUGCGUAGAGAUCGGGAGGAACAUCAGUGGCGAAGGCGGCCAUCUGGGACAACACUGACGCUGAAGCACGAAAGCGUGGGGAGCAAACAGG